AAUGAACGUUGGCGGCGUGGAUUAGGCAUGCAAGUCGAGCGAGAAUCGUAGCAAUACGAGGACAGCGGCGCAAGGGACAGUAAUGUGUAGAUUAUCUGCCCUCAGGUCCGGGAUAGCUGCGGGAAACUGCAGGUAAUACCGGAUAACAUCUCCGGAUCAAAGGUGUGAUUCCGCCUGAGGAUGAGUCUGCAUCCUAUUAGCUAGUUGGCAGGGUAACGGCCUACCAAGGCAUUGAUGGGUAGCGGGUGUGAGAGCACGACCCGCGUCAUUGGGACUGAGACACUGCCCAGACACCUACGGGGGGCUGCAGUCGAGAAUCUUCGGCAAUGGGCGCAAGCCUGACCGAGCGACGCCGCGUGUGGGAUGAAGGCCUUCGGGUUGUAAACCACUGUCAGAGGGGAUGAAAUGCAGGUGGGUUCUCCCAUCUGUUUGACAUAGCCUCAGAGGAAGGACGGGCUAAGUUCGUGCCAGCCGCCGCGGUAACAC
rnacentral:rRNA from 1 species